AACGAACGCUGGCGGCAUGCCUAACACAUGCAAGUCGAACGAGAACUCCGGGUCUUGUGGCGCCCGGGUGUGUAAGGCGUGGGAAGCUGCACUUAGGUACGGAAUACCUCCCUGAGAGGGAUGCUAAUACCGGAUAGUGUCUUAGGACCUAAGAUUUAUUGCCUUUGGCUGGGCCCGCGUUGGAUUAGCUGGUUGGUAGGGGCAAAGCAUACCACGGCGUCGAUCCAUAGCUGGGCUGAGAGGAUGAUUAGCCACACUUGGACUGAGACACGGCCCAGACUCCUACGGAAGGCAGCAGAGGGGAAUAUAGGACAAGGGGCGGAAGCCUGACCCAGCAAUGCCGGGUAAGUGAUGAUGGCCGUAGUGAUGUAAAGCUCUCUUACCCGGGAUGAUAAUGACAGUACCGGGAGAAGAAGCACCGGCUAACUACGUG
rnacentral:rRNA from 1 species